rnacentral:rRNA from 1 species
UAGGGAAUCUUCCGCAAUGGACGCAAGUCUGUCGGAGCAACGCCGCGUGAGUGAAGAAGGAUUUCGGUUCGUAAAACUCUGUUGUUAGAGAAGAACAGCGCAUAGAGUAACUGUUAUGCGUGUGACGGUAUCUAACCAGAAAGCCACGGCUAACUACGUGCCAGCAGCCGCGGUAAUACGUAGGUGGCAAGCGUUGUCCGGUUUUAUUGGGCGUAAAGCGAGCGCAGGCGGUCAAUUAAGUCUGAUGUGAAAGCCCCCGGCUCAACCGGGGGGGGUCAUUAGAAACUGGUUGUCUUGGGUGCAGAAGAGGGGAGGGGGAUUCCGUGUGUAGCGGUGAGAUGCGUAGAUAUCUGGAGGAACACCAGUGGUGAAGGCGACUCUCUGGUCUGUAACUGACGCUGAGGCUCGAGAGCGUGGGUAGCAAACAGG